rnacentral:tRNA from 1 species
AAAAAUUUAGUUAAACCCCAUAACAUUAGCUUGUCAAGCUAAAAUUAUUAAAUAUAACAUUAAUAAUUUUUA